CCCAAAAACGGAGGAAAAGAAACUAACAAGGAUUCCCCUAGUAACGGCGAGUGAAGCGGGAAGAGCUCAAAUUUGAAAUCUGGUAGCCUUCGGCUGCCCGAGUUGUAAUCUAGAGAAGUGUUUUCCGUGCCGGCCCAUGUACAAGUCCCUUGGAACAGGGCGUCAUAGAGGGUGAGAAUCCCGUCCUUGACAUGGACCCCCGGUGCUUUGUGAUACACUUUCAACGAGUCGAGUUGUUUGGGAAUGCAGCUCAAAAUGGGUGGUGAAUUCCAUCUAAAGCUAAAUAUUGGCGAGAGACCGAUAGCGAACAAGUACCGUGAGGGAAAGAUGAAAAGCACUUUGGAAAGAGAGUUAAACAGUACGUGAAAUUGUUGAAAGGGAAACGAUUGAAGUCAGUCAUGCUCUUUGGAUUCAGCCGUUCUGCGGUGUAUUUCCAUUGAGUGGGGUCAACAUCAGUUUUGACCGCUGGAUAAAGGCACUAGGAAGGUAGCACUCUCGGGUGAACUUAUAGCCUAGCGUCAUAUACAGUGGUUGGGACUGAGGAACGCAGCAUGCCUUUAUGGCCGGGAUUCGUCCACGUACAUGCUUAGGAUGUUGACAUAAUGGCUUUAAACGACCCGUCUAAAACACCGGGGCCC
rnacentral:rRNA from 1 species